GGCUAGUUUACACCAGCAAGGCUCACGAGAUCGAUCUCAGCGAAGGAAUAAAGUCUUUGGCUGGUUCCUGAAAAGUCCAUUAUGCCCCCAUUGACUUAAUCAGUCGACUAAAUACGAACCUUGAUCAUCUGGCAGCCAUAAAGAUGAAGACUGCACUUUCGGGUAAUCAGAAAUAGACUUUCCAGAUGGCUGGUCAGUGAGUAGCCAGAUGGUUCCCAGGUGGCUUCAAGAGAACUUGGAAUCGACUGAAGGACAUUGCAUGAAAACAUACUUUAUAAUGCAUCAAGCCAAAUGUUUGUAUUUUCAGUUAGUAUCCUCAACCAAGCGUGAUUUUGUCGUAGGCCAUCUUUGGAAAGAGUCUGAAACGCCAUGACCACAAGCAACAAGGAAUGUCGAGGCAAUGAUUCUGCAUUUCAAGCUUAUCGAACUUACUCUCCGUGACGUAACGUCCCAAUUCGCUGUUUCCACAUCAAGAUUCAACAUUCACGAGAUCAGCUACGAAUCACGAAUCGCAAUUUACUCUAAGACCAAUCGGUCACAUUCCAGCAAGCAGCGAUUCCAAGUUCAUUUCCUGUACAGACCAGUUUGUUGCUUCCAGGAGGCUGGAUGUUUCUGAUUUGCUUUGGGAAGAAAAGAGGCUUCGAGUUUAAGAACAAGGAACUUGUGAAUAUUAUUGUUCAUUUUACUGUCUGUUUAUAUAAUUCAUUGGUUAUA